rnacentral:tRNA from 1 species
AGUAGCCCAGUGGUGAGGGCACUCACCUGCAAAGUGGGAGACCUUGCUUCAAGUCCCUGCU